AGUUAAAUUUCGCCAUUUUCCCCAGCACCCGAACCCUCUAGCCGGGGCGCCGCCGCCUCCUGCCACGGCAGGUUCCUCUUCCAGCCGGGAGCCCGGGACGCCGCCGACUCAGCCAUCCUCCACCACGGCUCGGCCGGACGCCGUCGCCUCGAACCUCCUCCGGACACGCCGCCUCGGCCAAGCUCGUCCCGUCGCCGUCGCCAUCGCCAUCGCCUGCGGGUCGCCCGGGCCAGCGCCGCCUCGAAUAUCCUUCCGCCGGCGCCGGAUCCAGCCUGCCCCC
rnacentral:lncRNA from 1 species